rnacentral:tRNA from 1 species
AAGAUAUUAAGUUAACUAGACUGCGGCACUUCAAAUGCUGAAGUAGACAGGAUGUCUAUAUCUUG